AGUCCCACUCAACUAAACGCGUAAUCCCCGGUUAACUAUAUAUUUGGUAAAUUUUGGGUACUUCGAUUACGGACAGCUGCCCGCGCUAUCAAUCCCAAAACAUUAAUUUUUUUAUAGCAUAUGCAUGUUAGGUAAUGUAAUGCGCAUUAAACGAUUGGACCAUCCGACCGUCGGAGAUUGAAACAAGAAGGGAAGAGGAGGCAAUCGGUGCUCCGUCACCUCCGAGCUCGCAUCGACCCUUCUUGGAUUAUUAUUCGUCGGCGCCUCGAUGGCCAUCCACCCACUUCGUCUCUGGCGGUGGAGGCGAGGCGGCGGCCAAGACCGCGUGAUCAUCGCGCUGGGCUUCACCAUCCUCCUCCUCACUGUCGUCUCCUGGCUCCGCGAGAGCCCCAUCGCCGGCGGACUUCGACCGCCCGCCGGCUCGUCCCAUCCCGCUCUCGUCCAUCUUACCCUCCUGCGCAACGCCAAGAAAAAGGGCGCCGUGUGUUUGGAUGGAAGUCCUCCUGGGUAUCACUUCCAGAGGGGUUUCGGGUCCGGCAAAGACUGUUGGCUUCUCCACUUAGAGGGUGGAGGCUGGUGCAAUACUGUGGCAUCAUGCGCUUCACGCAAGAUGACAGCAUUGGGCUCAUCAGUUUACAUGGAACGCCAGGUUCCUUUUGAUGGCAUUUUAAGCAACGUUCCAUCACAAAAUCCUGAUUUUUAUAACUGGAACAAAGUUAAGAUACGAUACUGUGAUGGUGCAUCAUAUUCAGGGAAUGUAGAAAGUGGCAUUCAGAAUGGAACAAAGCUAUUCUUUAGAGGCCAGCGUAUCUGGAAAGGAAUAAUGGAUGAACUCUUGUUGAAAGGACUGGCAAAUGCUAAACAGGCUUUUCUAACAGGAUGCUCUGCUGGUGGUCUGGCUACUUUCAUACAUUGUGAAGAUUUUCGUGCACUUCUGCCUAAGGAGGUCACUGUUAAAUGUCUUGCAGAUGCUGGCUUUUUCCUUGAUGAGAUGGAUAUUUCUCAGAGAAGGUUCAUCCGAUCUUUCUAUGAUGAUGUUAUCCGCCUUCAGGAUGCAGGAAAGAAAUUUCGGGAUUGCACCUCAAGGAUGGAACCAUCUCAGUGUUUCUUUGCACAUGAGAUUGUUAAGAACAUAGACACCCCACUUUUUAUUCUCAACCCAGCAUACGAUGUUUGGCAGAUACAACAUAUAUUGGCUCCAGAAUCAUCUGAUACUCAACAAUCAUGGCAAAGGUGCAAGCUGAACAUUCACAAUUGUGAUUCCAACCAGAUUGAAUCUCUCCAAGGGUUGCCUUGCUUAAUUCCUUGAGUGAUUUUCAGCAUAAUAGGAAUGGGGGCAUGUUUAUAGAUUCUUGCUUCAUACAUUGUCAGACAAUAAGCAAUAUCACAUGGCACUCUCCAAAUUCUCCAAAAAUUAAUAAUAAGACAAUUGCAGAGGCAGUUGGAGACUGGUAUUUUAAUAGAAGGGAAGUGAAAGAAAUUGAUUGCGCACAUCCAUGCAAUCCUACAUGUAUUAAUUUGGAUCUUGCUCAACCUUGGCCUGGCCCUAAAUAGGAUACUUGCGGAAUGAGGAUCCUUAAAGCGGACCUCAAAUAGAUUAAAAAGGCUGAAUGGUAUUGGUUAUGCUAUGAUACUCAACCUCAUAAAGAUGUAAGGAUGAGGAGCCCUGCUGGAUAAUCUUCCCUAGAUGUCUUCCUCCAGUUUCUUGUUACAGUUAUUUUAUUUCAGUGAGGCAUGGCAAGGGAUGAUGAUAAGUGCCUUCAAAGAGCUUUCCUCCUGUGCAUGUUUAUGGGGCUGAUAACCAUCUCCUAGUUCAUGAUGUAGGCUUUUGUGUAUGUUAUGAAUAACAGUGCGAGAAUUAUGUCUAUUGACAUCACAUUUCAUUACUUCUUAAGGAGAAAUUGGUGUGCAUGAUGGAAUGUGUAUGAUGUCUUUGAAGAAAAAAAAGAGAGUUAAAAAAGAAGAGCAGGAAAAGAAGAUGGAAUGUGUAUCAUGGAUAUCAGAUCAGUUUGGAGUUCCUUGGAUGCUAGUUAAGUCAAGCAGUGCCAUUUAAGAGACUUGACUUUCUCUUUCUAGAAUCUGGCUACCUUCCAGGUGCUAACUAAGCGAUCAUCCACCCAUCAGCAUGCUGCCGUUUGUAUUAGUGGAUUUUGUUUCCUUCCUUGUAACUAAUUGUGAGUUGUGACUGCUUGGAGAUAGAUACAUGAAGGGAUUUUUGUUGUUGUUGUUAAAACAUGGAACAUCAUUAUGAAUGCUUUUGAAGCAUUUUCUAUGCCUAUAACGAGGUAUAUGGAAUGCUGAUAUAUGGAAAUGUGGUGGUUUGCAUCUA